AUCACCUUCACUCUUUAGGGUGAGAGCUGGUUUUGGUUUGCUUUGUGGCAAAGAAUCCUGGUAGGAUGAUGAGGCUCGCUAGAGUCAGGGAACUUAGGAAAUAUGCAAGACUCCUGAAGCUACUCCUUAGGCUUAAACUAGUAAGGCAAUUAUGGGAGAGAAGCUACCUUUGUGCAGCUGAAUUCAAGCUCAAUGAGCUCUGGGAUGUAGCUCUCAUUACCCAUGCUGAAAUGGACUUCUCAGUGACACAGCUUCCUUAGUGUGUCCCAGACUCCAAUGUCCUAUCUUGGGUGAAUAGAUAUUGUUUGUAUCUUUCCAUGGAAAGCCACAAGUGGCACCUGAACAAGACUUAUAGAUCCAAAGAUGUGUCAAGAGAAGAAAUCCUAUGCUCCCUGCUAUGGGUAAUAAAAUAUCUCACCAAA